AGCUUAUCCCUCGUACCUUUUGCAUCAUGAUUUAGCUAGUAAUAGUCAAGCAAAAAGCAUUUUAGUUUGACCCCCCGAAACCAAGUGAGCUACUCCAAGACAACCUAAAUCUAGGGUAAACCCGUCUCUGUGGCAAAAGAGUGGGAAGAGCUUUGAGUAGGGGUGACAGACCUACCGAACUUGGUUAUAGCUGGUUGCUUGAAAAAUGAAUAGGAGUUCCGCUUCUUAAAUUCUUACCCCCCUCGAUUUUAUCCCCUAAUAACAGACAGCAGAAUAUCAAGAAAAUUAAGAAAGUUAAUCAAAGGGGGUACAGCCCCUUUGAAACAAGGUACAACUUCUUUAGGAGGGUACAGAUCAUAAUUUACUUAAGGAACUUAUGCCUUGGUGGGCCUAAAAGCAGCCAUCCAACCAGAAAGCGUCAAAGCUCUAACAUUCCUUCCUCCCUAAUACUGAUAACAAGUCUUAGCCCCCUAACCAUAUCAAGCCGCUCCAUCGAAGCAUGGAAGUGAUUAUGCUAAAAUGAGUAAUAAGAGAAUACGUCUCUCUCCCCGCACAU
rnacentral:rRNA from 1 species